rnacentral:rRNA from 1 species
UACGUAGGGUGCAAGCGUUUAAUCGGAAUUACUGGGCGUAAAGCGUGCGCAGGCGGUUAUGUAAGACAGAUGUGAAAUGCCCGGGCUUAACCUGGGAACUGCAUUUGUGACUGCAUGGCUAGAGUUUGGCAGAGGGGGGUAGAAUUCCACGUGUAGCAGUGAAAUGCGUAGAUAUGUGGAGGAACACCGAUGGCGAAGGCAGCCCCCUGGGGUCAAGGACUGACGCUCAUGCACGAAAGCGUGGGGAGCAAACAGG